UACGGAGGGUGCUAGCGUUGUUCGGAAUUACUGGGCGUAAAGCGCACGUAGGCGGCUUUGUAAGUUAGAGGUGAAAGCCCAGGGCUCAACCCUGGAAUUGCCUUUAAGACUGCAUCGCUUGAACAUCGGAGAGGUAAGUGGAAUUCCGAGUGUAGAGGUGAAAUUCGUAGAUAUUCGGAAGAACACCAGUGGCGAAGGCGACUUACUGGACGAUUGUUGACGCUGAGGUGCGAAAGCGUGGGGAGCGAACAGG
rnacentral:rRNA from 1 species